rnacentral:rRNA from 1 species
UACGUAGGCAGCGAGCGUUGUUCGGAGUUACUGGGCGUAAAGGGUGCGUAGGCGGCUUUUUAAGUUUGGUGUGAAAUCUCCCGGCUCAACUGGGAGGGUGCGCCGAAUACUGAGAGGCUAGAGUGUGGGAGAGGAAAGUGGAAUUCCUGGUGUGGCGGUGAAAUGCGUAGAUAUCAGGAGGAACACCGGUGGUGUAAACGGCUUUCUGGACCAUAACUGACGCUGAGGCACGAAAGCGUGGGUAGCAAACAGG